GACGAACGCUGGCGGCGUGCUUAACACAUGCAAGUCGAACGGAAAGGCCCUGCUUUUGUGGGGUACUCGAGUGGCGAACGGGUGAGUAACACGUGAGUAACCUGCCCUUGACUUUGGGAUAACUUCAGGAAACUGGGGCUAAUACCGGAUAGGAGCUCCUGCUGCAUGGUGGGGGUUGGAAAGUUUCGGCGGUUGGGGAUGGACUCGCGGCUUAUCAGCUUGUUGGUGGGGCAGUGGCUUACCAAGGCUUUGACGGGUAGCCGGCCUGAGAGGGUGACCGGCCACAUUGGGACUGAGAUACGGCCCAGACUCCUACGGGAGGCAGCAGUGGGGAAUAUUGCACAAUGGGCGGAAGCCUGAUGCAGCAACGCCGCGUGCGGGAUGACGGCCUUCGGGCUGUAAACCGCUUUCGCCUGUGACGAAGCGUGAGUGACGGUAAUGGGUAAAGAAGCACCGGCUAACUACGUG
rnacentral:rRNA from 1 species